CUGAGCCAAAGGCCUUGUGGAAUGGUCCCAGGGGAAGGGGCAGGGAUUUAUUCUUCUCAGGCCGAGACUCAUUUUCUUUUGUCUUUUUGCCUUUUGCAGGGAGACCCUGGGAUUCAAGGAUACCCUGGCAGAAAGGGUGCUCCUGGGAUGGCCAUGGCAGGGAUGAAGGUCAGUUCUACUCUACGCUUCAGCUUCUAAAGAAGGGCACGUUUAAGAGCCAGAGAGAGCUGUGAGAGCAAAGGAAAGUGGUCAAACAGCUCCCACUGAAGGGGAAUAGUAGAACUGCUGUAGAUUCUUGCAGAGAAAGCCAGAUCUGUCCUCAGCUGCAUCUGCUGCUCCACACAGCUCUGAGCAGAGACAGGUGGUACUUCACAGCAGUAUCGGGAUGGCAGCUGAGCAAAAAGUGAGCUGGGUGCCAGUGUAGGGGCUGUAAGCCACCUUGAUGGAGCUGAGGUGUGCUGUCUUCAUUGACUCCAGCUGCUGAGGAAAAGGCAGAGAUAAAGAGGUUAUCCCCAGAACUGGUGGGGAUAGUUUUCUCCCUGAUGCUGCAAUGUUCCCCUAUUUAUACAUUCCCUCAUCCUUGCUGUAUUCUCAGCUUUGCUGUGUUCCUGUGCAGAGAUAGGAGUAAAUUCCUUAGUGCCAGCAGAUGAGUCUUGACUUAGUAUGGCAAGUCUUCUCUUGAAGCACAGCAAGGUGGUUGAUCCAUCUUGCUGUUUAUUUUCAGCUGGCUAAUGAAGAUGAAACAAGCUUCAGGCAGAAGUUCUAAUAGGCAUUUAAAGCAUCCUCAGGCCCCAAGUCCUCCACAGAUGAAUGCUCCUUUCUUCACCCUGUUAGCUCUAGGAGGUUUCUCUGUUCACUUUCUAUUCUCUCACUUUAUUUUCUUGUCUCUUCCUUAACAGGGUGAGCCUGGGACUCCAGGAGAAAAGGUACUUGGAAAUCAUUGCUCUGAGCCUGCACUUCUGUUUUGUUUGUGAUUUGUUUGUGAUUCCCCCCCCCCCCCCCCGCUUCCCAGAGCAGCUGAGGAAUAACUCUGUGCUCCCCAAGGCACAAAUCCAGGUCUUAGUGACACCUGCCAGC
rnacentral:lncRNA from 1 species